UUUGUAUUGUAUUAGUUGUAAAUUUGUAUUUUUUGUCAUUCUGAAUAAAUUAGAACAUAUGUUAUUCCAGAACGUGUAAUUAGUGGUGAUAUUGAGAUCAGCUUCCCAUUUAGAGAUCGGAAGGCUCACUGUCUGGUCUACAUUGGAAAUUAAGAUAUAGAUUUUGGAUACUGCAUAUAUUUAUAGUGUGCGCGUCCAUUGAGCUGUGAGUCAGUUAUUAUAUGUUUAUGUUUCUAUUCAUCUAUUCAGCAGAUGAUGACUUUGUUAAUUGCUCGCUCUUUAAGUUGAUUGGUCACAGACCGUCUGCACGUUUCUAAGACUGUGAUUUAAGGCGCAUUGACAAAUUUAUUCUGUAUUGAGCAUUGAGUUCUCAUUUGUGCUGAUAUUACGUACCAGUUGUUAUUGUUAGUAUGUUUGAGUCGCUGGUUUAGCAGACUUGUAUUUGCUUCAGUUUUGGGACUCAAACAGGAAGAAUCAUUGUGAUGUAAUUGCUUCAUCUUGUGGCGGUGAUGCGCAUAACAUGUGACAUGUAACCGACGUUACAGGAAACGGUUUGAUAACGAGUCGUAAGUGUCUGCUUACAGUUGAGCUGUGUUUGUGUUUCUUUCAGAAACCACACACUCCAAUAUUUGACUGUAAGAAAGAAUGCUGGAAUAAAGCUUUUCUAAAGAACGCUGAGUCGUCACUGAAGCAUUAGAACCUGAGUACACGGAGAAGCCAUUGUGUCCAUGUCAGCUCAUCAGCUACUGCCUUCUGGCCGAUGGACCAGUCCGUUUAGUGCAGGCUUCAUGUAAAAGUCAGCAGUCUGGGUCCGUGCUAGUGUUAAAGCAGAUGUGUGGCGAUGUUAUUUGGAGCCGUGCAGCCACAGCCUCUGACAGAAGGAGGAACCAGCACACUACAUCGCAUCCGGCCCAAUUCUAGCAGUGGAGCUCCAUCUGACUGACAAAGACCAUGUUCAUGCAACAGCUGUGUUAUUAACAAAUAUAUAUUUUUGUCAAGCGCUAAUUUUGACUGCGAGGGUUUUUGAAUUUUGACCAGUGAGCAGAGUGUGUGCAUGGAAGGCUAAUUAUAAGUGGCUGUAUUUAUUGUAUUUAGCUUUUUGCAGCAGGUCAAUAAAUACAUCCCAUCGGUCAGGA